UCCCCGAAAUAGCUUUAGGGCUAGCCUCUUGUUAGAGAGUCGUGGAGGUAGAGCACUGGAUCGGCUAGGGGGCUUACCCGCUUACCAAACCGAACCAAACUCCGAAUGCCAUUGACUUGUUCCAAGGGAGUCAGCGUGCGAGGGAUAAACUCCGUACGCGAGAGGGAAACAACCCAGAUCGUCAGCUAAGGUCCCAAAGUGUAAGCUAAGUGAUUAAAAGGAUGUGAAAUUGCUGAGACAGCUAGGAUGUUGGCUUAGAAACAGCCACCAUUUAAAGAGUACGUAACAGUUCACUAGUCAAGUGAUUUUGCGCCGACAAUGUAUCGGGGCUAAGUUUACCACCGAAGCUACGGACUCAGCGUCUUGUUCGCGAGACGUUGAUUGGUAGGGGAGCGUUCCAUAGUAGGCUGAAGGUAAACCGUAAGGUUUGCUGGACGAGAUGGAAGUGAUUAUGUCGGCAUGAGUAGCGAUAAUGCAGGUGAGAAUCCUGCACACCGAAAAUCUAAGGUUUCCUGGGCUAGGCUCGUCCUCCUGGGGUUAGUCGGGACCUAAGCUGAGGCCGAAAGGCGUAAGCGAUGGAAAACAGGCUAAAUAUUCCUGUACCACUUACAGCGCGUUUGAGCUAUGGGGUGACGCAGAAGUGAAAGGUCAGCCAGCGACUGGAAAUGCUGGUCUAAGCCCGUAGGAGGACUGUCCAGGCAAAUCCGGACAGUCACUACUCUGAGAGGCAAUGGGGAGCCGCUUAGCGGCAUAAACUGAUCCUAAUCAUGCUGCCUAGAAAAACCUCUAUGUGAGUUCUGUAGGUGCCCGUACCGUAAACCGACACAGGUAGAUGAGGAGAGUAUCCAAAGGUGCGCGAGAAAACCCUCGUUAAGGAAUUCGGCAAAAUGAUCCCGUAACUUCGGAAGAUGGGAUGCCCUCAGUAGGUGAAGCCCCUCGCGGGUAGAGCCCAAAGGGGUCGCAGAGAAACGGGCUGGGCGACUGUUUACCAAAAACACAGGUCUCUGCUAAGCCGUAAGGCAAUGUAUAGGGACUGACACGUGCCCGGUGCUGGUAAGUUAAGAGGAUGAGUUAGUCUUCGGACGAAGCUUUGAAUCGAAGCUCCGGUAAACGGCGGCCGUAACUAUAACGGUCCUAAGGUAGCGAAAUUCCUCGUCGGCUAAAAACCGACCUGCACGAAUCGUGUAACGACUUGGCCGCUGUCUCAACGAGGGACUCGGUGAAAUUGUAGUUCCGGUGAAGAUGCCGGAUACCCGCGGCAGGACAGAAAGACCCCGUGAACCUUUACUAUAGCUUGGUAUUGGAUUUUGACACUGUAUGUGUAGGAUAGGUGGGAGGCUAUGAAGCGGGAGCGCCAGUUCUCGUGGAGCCGUCCUUGAAAUACCACCCUUGCCUUGUUAAAAUUCUAACCUUGGUCCCUUGAUCGGGAUCGGAGA
rnacentral:rRNA from 1 species